CAAUAGCGUAUAUUAAAGUUGUUGCGGUUAAAAAGUUCGUAGUUGGAUUUCUGCCAAGGACGACCGGUCCGCCCUCUGGGUGAGUAUCUGGCUUGGCCUGGGCAUCUUCUUGGAGAACGUUGCUGCACUUCGCUGUGUGGCGCGGUAUCCAGGACCUUUACUUUGAGGAAAUUAGAGUGUUUCAAGCAGGCUUUCGCCUUGAAUACAUUAGCAUGGAAUAAUAAGAUAGGACCUCGGUUCUAUUUUGUUGGUUUCUAGAGCUGGGGUAAUGAUUAAUAGGGAUAGUUGGGGGCAUUCGUAUUUAACUGUCAGAGGUGAAAUUCUUGGAUUUGUUAAAGACGGACUACUGCGAANGNAUUUGCNAAGGAUGUUUNCAUUG
rnacentral:rRNA from 1 species